AGCGAACGCUGGCGGCAGGCUUAACACAUGCAAGUCGAGCGGGCACUUCGGUGUCAGCGGCAGACGGGUGAGUAACACGUGGGAACGUGCCCUUCGGUUCGGAAUAACUCAGGGAAACUUGAGCUAAUACCGGAUACGCCCUUUUGGGGUAAGGUUACUGCCGAAGGAUCGCCCGCGUCUGAUUAGCUAGUUGGUGGGGUAAGUGGCCUACCAAGGCGACGAUCAGUAGCUGGUCUGAGAGGAUGAUCAGCCACACUGGGACUGAGACACGGCCCAGACUCCUACGGGAGGCAGCAGUGGGGAAUAUUGGACAAUGGGCGGCAAGCCUGAUCCAGCCAUGCCGCGUGAGUGAUGAAGGCC
rnacentral:rRNA from 1 species